UGGGGAAUAUUGCACAAUGGGCGCAAGCCUGAUGCAGCCAUGCCGCGUGUAUGAAGAAGGCCUUCGGUUUGUAAAGUACUUUCAGUCGGGAGGAAGGUGGUAAGGUUAAUAACCUUAUCAAUUGACGUUACCGACAGAAGAAGCACCGGCUAACUCCGUGCCAGCAGCCGCGGUAAUACGGAGGGUGCAAGCGUUAAUCGGAAUUACUGGGCGUAAAGCGCACGCAGGCGGUUGAUUGAGUCAGAUGUGAAAUCCCCGGGCUUAACCCGGGAAUUGCAUCUGAUACUGGUCGGCUAGAGUCUUGUAGAGGGGGGUAGAAUUCCAUGUGUAGCGGUGAAAUGCGUAGAGAUGUGGAGGAAUACCGGUGGCGAAGGCGGCCCCCUGGACAAAGACUGACGCUCAGGUGCGAAAGCGGGGGGAGCAAACAGG
rnacentral:rRNA from 1 species